rnacentral:rRNA from 1 species
AGGUAGUAAAAAAUUUAAUAAAAACCUAUUUACAAAGGCGGCAUUUAAUUUUAUUAGAGGAAUCUGUUAAAUAAUAGAUACCCCACAAUAAAUUUUACUUUAAAUAAAAACUUAUAUACCGCCAUCUAAAGAAUUAAAUUAAAAAAUUUACUCCAAACAUGAUUAAUAAAAAGAUAGGUCAAGGUGUAGUCUAAAUUAAAGAUUUUUAAAUGGAUUACUUUAAAAACAUUUAAGGAAUAAAAUAUAUUAUUAUUUUACAAAUAAGGAUUUAAAAGUAAUAUAAUAAUAAUAUUUCUAUAUUAAUAAAACAAAAAAUGUGC